CAGAUUCAAAGUUCAAUAAAUUUCCCUAAAAGCAGACCAUGAGUCACUCUCAUAACUGGGGUAGAACUCAAAACUCCUCGUCCCUAGCCAGAUGACAAAUCAUCAGCUCCGUGGACACCCGUACUGGGGCUGACAAAUCCUUCCAUGAUGCAGGACCGUUCGGUGGCACUGUUGGGUUGUCGUUAUCGAAGAGGAGGUUGACUUACUCCAUAAACUCGGGGGAACCUUGGGGGCCUGUAAAUGGCGUCCCCUGGAAGUACUGCCAUCUGAGCCUGUUCAAGGGCUGUCUCAGGCAGUGUUCCCAGGGGACUAGACCUCUGAAGGUCCCAGGACACACAGCUGCUGAACAGUCCACAUGGCACUUGAAGAACAUACUUGAUGCCUAUGGUAGAACAUGGAAUUUCAGGGAUGCUCCAGCGGCAGUAAGCGGACCUCAAGCUGGAUGGGUGUGGUCAGUUCUACUUCAGACCACAAGAGACUGUCAUUCAUUCCUGGAAGCUUCCAGCUGUACCAUCUACCCAGCCUCCUCUGCUACUUAGAACCUUCACUGGUCACUGCUCCCUGCUCUCACUCCCAACCACCUUCACUUAUUUUAAUACUAACAUGGAAUGUGCUAAUAGUCGAUUAAACUGCUUCUCAUUGAGGGCUGUUAACAUUUUCAUAAGUUCAGGGAGCAUUUUAAGUGAAACAUGCAGAGCCAGGGAUGGAGCAGUGCACCUCCUCGUACUGAUGUGUGAUAUGAAGGCAGAUUGGUAAUUUGGUGGGAGUGGGUAGGAAGACUUAGAAGUAUUGCACAGGCAUCACAGUGUAUAGUCUCUGUGGCUCUGCAGAAUUCUGUUUAGGAUGGGAAUGACACUUUUUGAAAUUGUGUCACAUAGUGGCAACCCAGGCAGUGUGUGUGUGUGUGUGUGUGUGUGUGAGAGAGAGAGAGAGAGAGAGAGAGAGAGAGAGAGAGAGAGAGAGAGAGAGAGAGGUGGGAUAAUGCUCUUAUUCACGUAAAGAUUUGUCUCUCGUAUCGGUUUAAUUAAAUGCUGUUUGGCCAAUAGUCAGGCAGGAAGUAGAGGUGGGGCUACCAGACUAGGAGAAUUAUGGGAAGAGAAAAGGCAGAGACAAAUCAGCCAAACAGAGGAAGCAAGAUGAGAAUGCCAUACUGAGAAAAGGUAGCAAGCCAUGUGGUUAAACAUAGAUAAGCAUUAUGGGUUAAUUUAAGUUGUAAGAGCUCAUUAGUAAUAAGCCUGAGCAAUAAAUAAAACAGUUUACAAUUAAUAUAAGCCUCUGUGUGUUUAUUUGGGACUGAAUUGCUGCAGGACAGGGUGGGACAAAAACUUCCGUCUACGUGUGUGUGUGUGUGUGUGUGUGUGUGUGUGUGUGUGUGUGU
rnacentral:lncRNA from 1 species